UACGAAGGGGGCUAGCGUUGUUCGGAGUUACUGGGCGUAAAGGGCGCGUAGGCGGCGCACCAAGUCAGGCGUGAAAGCCCUGGGCUCAACCCGGGAAUUGCGCUUGAGACUGGUGUGCUUGAGUACGAGAGAGGUGAGUGGAAUUCCCAGUGUAGAGGUGAAAUUCGUAGAUAUUGGGAAGAACACCGGUGGCGAAGGCGGCUCACUGGCUCGUAACUGACGCUCAUGCACGACAGCGUGGGGAUCAAACAGG
rnacentral:rRNA from 1 species